rnacentral:tmRNA from 1 species
GGGGGAAUGUAAAGACUGGACUAAGCAUGUAGUACCGAGGAUGUAGGAAUUUCGGACGCGGGUUCAACUCCCGCCAGCUCCACCA